rnacentral:rRNA from 1 species
AGGGCACCACCAGGAGUGGAGCCUGCGGCUUAAUUUGACUCAACACGGGGAAACUCACCCGGCCCGGACACCGUAAGGAUUGACAGAUUGAUAGCUUUUUCAUGAUUCGGUGGAUGGUGGUGCAUGGCCGUUCUUAGUUCGUGGAGCGAUUUGUCUGGUUUAUUCCGAUAACGAGCGAGACUCUAGCCUACUAAAUAGUUCGCACAUUGUCUCUGUGUGUGUGACUUCUUAGAGGGAUUUUCGGUGUUCAGCCGCACGAAAUUGAGCAAUAACAGGUCUGUGAUGCCCUUAGAUGCCCGGGGCUGCACGCGCGCUACACUGGCAAAAUCAGCGUGCUUGUCCUUCCCCGAAAGGGGUUGGUAAACCCUUGAAAAUUUGCCGUGGUUGGGAUUGGAAAUUGCAAUUAUUUUCCAUGAACGAGGAAUUCCAAGUAAGUGCGAGUCAUCAGCUCGCGUUGAUUACGUCCCUGCCCUUUGUACACACCGCCCGUCGCUGCCCGGGACUGAGCCAUUUCGAGAA